rnacentral:lncRNA from 1 species
CUCCUUUUUAAAACUUUAAUUAUAGAAAAUUUCAAACAUAUACAAGAGUAGAGAGUAUUGUAAGUUUAACGAGGCCCUUGGACGCAGCACCCAGUCUCAGUAAUUACUAACUCAUGGCCAGUCUGUUUCAUUCAUCACCACCUCCUCCCUUCCAUUACCCCACUAGGUCAUUUUGAAGGAAAUCCUAGAAUCGUGUUGUUUCAUCCACAAAUACUUCAGAAUGUAUUAGGUUGAACCACAUGCAAUUGCUGAUAAACAAAUAUAUUUACUUAAAGUUGGUUUGUUUGAUGAGGACUCAAACACGGUCCACCCGUUCUGGCAGCAUCCCUAUGUUGCUGCUUCUCCUCCCUCCACGUGUCUCCAUCCUUCUUCUCAUGUCCCCCAUGUCUAUAGUUAUCCCAAGAGGGGAAUUUGGGAAGGAGGUGAGUUUGUCUCUGGAACUCCCGAGCUCUUCUGAGGGGUCUGCUCCGCGGUGUUCCCAUUCACCUCCUUUAGGCACUCCGAGAUCGUAUAUUUCCUACCUACCGAGGAAUUUUGAUUCCCAACAAAUGCUGAUUCCCUGAAAAAAGAGGUUCCGGACAUGAGAGAGCUGGUGGAUUGGAGGGUGGAAGGGGCUCCAUGGUGCUUCUGUGCCCAAGGGACUGACAUUUCUGUUUAAGAACUGACUGAGGCCUUGCCACUGCUCUGUGACCCUGGCCAAGUCACCCAUCCGUCCGGGGCUCCAGUUUCCUCCACAUAAGAGAACGGGUGUUGGUUUAUCAUUCCCACCAUCAACAUCGAGUGCUCCCUGUUAGUUGCUGUAGCAAAAGCCCAGCCUAUAGCAAGUGCCUACUCAUCUGCAGAGCAAGUGGACCAGAUGCUCCAGGAGCCCCUCCCACGUGCUUCCAGGACACCCAAGCCCCGCCAGUCCUGCCCGCCUAGGACACCUCACUUCCUGCUCCUGGCUGGGGGUCAUCUCCCACCCCUGACUUUGCUUGGCUGACUGAGAAGGAAAUAACCACAGGCUCCAGCGCAAGGAGAAGAGGUGGCCAGGGACAUUGGAGGCCACUUCCCCAGUGUCCUUGACUGAAUGUCUCCCUCCUGGGUGACAGCCUGGGUCCCAGAGCUCAGCUCUAUUUCGGUCACCAUUUGGCAUGUGUCACCUUGCAGAGGCCCGGGUCCUCAGGGACAAAGGGCCAAAAUCUGCUACAAGAAUGGUAAUUUGAGGAUCUUGGCCCCCUGCCCCUGGGGCUUCGGUGUUCUUAGGGACAAGCGGAAUGAUGAUAUCAUGGACUUAAUUACUUUCUGGAUAUGAGGGCCCUGGUCUCUGGGCACCAGCUGGUGUGAGGCCCCAGGGAGCCUAAUUUAGGAAAAGGAUUCAGCGGAAUGACAGCUGUUGAAAGUGCUUGGCUCCCACCUUUGGCCAGAGAAUUUAAGAAAAAAGCCCUUUGAGACUUUGAGACCUGUAGCUCUGGAGGCUGGUCUUCCCCCUGAGGUCUCCUAGGAAAAGGCUCAGUUCUUGGAGAUGAAAGAGCCCACAGAGGUCAUCUUGGCCAGCCAAUACCCUUCCCAAUACCCCCAAGAGGUGGUCAUUCUGGCUGUGCUUGAUUACCUCCAGUGAUGGGGAGCUCAGUCUCUCUGGAGACAACCUGUUUCAUUAUUGGCCAACUCUAACUGCUGAACAGUGCCAACGUGACUUCUACAUAGCUCCAAUCUGCCUCGAUGCCACUUCCAUUGCCCUAGUUUCAACCUGUGGAGCCACAGAGAACACAUUUAAAUUCCUCUUCCUUGUGACAGCCCUUCAAAUAUUUGAAAGCAGCUCUCAUGUCCCCCCUAGCUUCUUCUCCAGGCUAAACAUAGCUCUUUCAGCCAUUGCUCAUAUGACAUGGCUUCAGUCGGCACCACUGUCCUCAUCAUUUUCCACUGGAUGGAUAUCAGCUUUUCACGGUCCUUCUUACAGUGUGGGGCCCUGGAGGCACUGAUCUGAGCAGAGGGGAGUUGCACACUCACUUUAUUCCUACCCUCACACGUCUGCUGUCACAGCCCUGCUUGGCAGACACCCUCUCUCUUUACACACAACAAAUCCAGCAGUCUUUCUCACGCGUGCUGCGGUGAAGCCACACCCCGCUCUGGGACUCAGGCAGCCAUGUUUCAGGGCCCAAGCACAGGGCUUUCGCUUUGUGGAUUCAUGGUAUUGUUCCGGGCUGACUGGAUAUUUGGGUCCUAAUUCUCUCAUUCGGCAUUGGUGGCCCCCCUCGCUCUGCGCUGCUCGCGUUGCUGAGCGCGCCGCCGUGCCCGCCCCAUCACCCGGCAACACGAGCCACAGGAAUGGGCACGUGCGUCCCUCUCAGGCUCACGUGAAGUCGUUAUUCAGCACCCUGUCGGGGGUGGCCAUUCACACAUCACAGGUCAUACGGUCGCAGAGCUCCCGUUGCGUCACCCGCUCACAAGGGUGCUUGGGGAAGCCGGGUUACAGUCCAUGUAUUCUGCGUCUACGCAUGAUCCUCGCCGAAGCGUCUUGUCGUACUCUUGAAGAAAAGUGUGGCGGCAGCGGUGUCCCAUGCGAGGUGAACCCAGGCUGCUCCCACUGGUCUCCGGCAGAUGAUGCUCUGUGCAUAUUGUCAAACAUCAGAGAUGUUUGACAGAGAUGCACACAGAUGUCAGCAGAGUAACGUGCCCAUGACCCCGUGGGGAGAAGACAGUGGAAACUCGACAUUUGGCACUUCUCCUGGACUCUUCCCUUUGCUCUUCUUCUCUUGGCUGAUUUUAAUCUGUGUCCUUUCCCUGUAAUAAACCGUAACUGUGAGUGUAAGAGUUUUUAUGAGUUCUGUGAGUUUUUCUAGAAAAUUAUUGACCCUGAGGGUUUUGGGAACCCUCUGAAUUUGCAAUUGGUGUCAGAAGUGAAGGUGAUCUUGGAGACAGUGCCCUCUAACUUCAUAGUUAGCCUAAAUUCAUCACUGUGUGUGAAUUUACCUGUGUGUGUUUAAAAUUACAUGAUUGGGAAUUCUAUUCAUGGUUCUGGGACUUGAAUUAUUUCACAUUCCAUGUGCUUGGAGAACUUCUUUAAGGCUUAUGUGUCUCAGUUUCCUCACCUGCAAAAUGGGCUUAACAGCAGCAUCUGCAUCCAUAGGGUUGUUAUGAGGAGUAAAUGAAUGACUGUGUGCAAAGCUCUUAGGACGAUGCUUGCUGUGAGGUUAGGGCUCCGUCAGUGAUGAUGAUGAUGGUGAUGAUUUCCACACCAGACCAUUGAAGUCUAGCUUAUUGCUGUGAAGAGCUGAUUAAUGCAUAUCAUUUCUAUUAGCUCCUCUGGGCUUCCCACAAAGACAGCAGUAGGUUGGGGGCUGCAGUGCUUUAUGGGAAGCGACUCUUUGGCUGCACUGCCAGGAGGAAAAUGUUACGACUCCCAUUUUCCAGAAGAGAAAAUUGAGUCUCAGGUUAAGAAACUCUCCAAGUUCACACGGCCAGAAUGUGUUGGGGGUGGAUUGAAGUCCAGAAAAUAAGAAAAGUAGAAACACUCUCUACUACUCCACUAAUUUUCAGAUGUGAAAGAGAAGAAACUUCAGGACCUCAGAAUAUAACCAGAUUUGGAGAUCAGGUCUUUACCUAAUCAUUGGGGUGGACCCCAAUCCACUAUGACUGGUGUUCUCCUAAGAAGAGGAAAUUUAGACACAGACAUGUACAGAGAGAAGACCAUGUCAAGACACAGGAGAAGAUGACCCUCUAAGCCAAGGAGAGGAGCCUGGAACAGAGCCUUCCCUCACAGCCUCAGAAGAGACCAACCCUGCUGACACCUCGAUUUCAGACUCCCAGCCUCCAGAACUGUAGAAAAUAAAUUUCUUUUGUUUAAGCCACCCAAUCUGUGGUACUUUGUUACGGCAGCCCCAGCAAACAGCAUGUGCCAGACAUUCCUUCUUUUUUAUGGCUGAAAAAUCUUCGAUUAUAUGGAUAGACCGCAUUUUGUUUAUCCAUUCAUCUGUCGAUGGACACUUGGGUUGUUUCCAUCUCCUGGCUACUGUGAAUAAUGCUGCUUUGAAUAGUGGUGUGCAAGUAUCUGCUUGAGUCUCUGCUUUCAAUUAUGUUGAGUAUAUGCCCAGAAGGAGAAUUGCUGGAUCAUAUGGUAAUUCUGUUUAACUGUUUGAGGAAUUGCCAAACCAUUUUCCGCAGUGGCUGUGCCAUUUUAAGUUCCUACCAGCAAAGCACAAGGGUUCCAAUUUCUCCACAUCAUUGCCAACGCUUGCUAUUCUCCUUUUUAUUUAUUUUUUGAUAUGUUUGUUUUUUAAUACUUGUUCAGCCAGAGGCAUUAACAUCAACAAGGAGCUCCACUUCUGGGAUGGCGGAGGAGGCUCCUAACAGGCUGAUCCUCCCUCAGAGAACAGCUGUAAACUCUGGAUACAAUAUGACAGUCAGGACCCAAAGGCUCCAGAAAGUGCACUAAAGUGAGCAGAUUUUGAAGCAGGUCAAAACGUGAAAGAAGGGCCAAACACCGAGUAGUUUCCAAUUUUUACGGCUUUAGCUUGAAGGCAGGGUGCGAUGACAAUUUUUCCCGAAUUGGUCAAUGAAUUCAACACAAUCCCAAUCAAAAUCUCAGCAGGAACUUUUGUAGAAACUAAUGGUCUAAUUCUCAAGUUUGUGUGGAAAUGCAAAUGAUCUAGAGUCAACCAAAACAAUUUUGGAAAAGAACACAGUUGGAACGCUUACACUACCUGGUCUCAAGGCUUGCUAUAAAACCACAGCAAUCAAGACAGUGUGGUAUUGGUGAAGGGUGGAUGUAUGGAUCCGUGGAACAGAAGAGAGUCCAAAAUAGACGCACACACAUAUGAUCAACUGAUUUUCAACAAAGGUGCCAAAACAAUUCAAUGGAGAAAAAAUAGUCAUUGCAUUCUUUGGCCAAAACAGGUCACAAGAGUAGUCGAGAAUCAAGGAAUAGGGAAAUAGCUCUACCUGUUGAUGGAAUGGGGAUGGGAGGGGCAGCAACAUCACAUUGCAAGGGGUGUGGAGACAGGCAGACAUGAACGACUGGAUUCAUUUUGGAAUCUACCACCCCAGGCAACCCGGAUGAUCCUUUGGGACCCCUCAUCAGACAACAGUGCUUGUCCGCCCAGGGUUCAGCUCAAAGGCCACCUCCUCUGAGAAGCCUUGCCAGAUGGCUCUGUCUCGUGGUGACGCCCAAUUACCGUUUAUUACACUGCCCCUGUUCAGCUCCUUCACAGCUCUUCCACAGUCUCCUUCAUUUCUUUCUCCAUUUGCUCAUUGUGUGUCUUCCCCAUCAGGACGUGAUUCUAGUUUAAGAUGGCUUUGAAGUAAGUGAAAAUAAUUGAGGCUGGAAAGGUAGCCAGAGACCAGGCCAUGAAGGACCAGAAUGCCCCAGUAAGGAGUUUAGACAUUAAGUUGUAGAAAAACAGAGGAUGAAGUUUAGAACAAGGACGUGACCCAGUAAAAUUGAUAUAUUCUAACAAGACUGCUGAGGCGAGGGCCUUGGAGUAGAAGUCUUUGGGAGGUGGUGUGAAGGGAGAAUCGGAGAGGCGGAGCACAGGGCCGAGUGCAGUCCAUCGGAGGGCGGCUGUGAUGGUCUGAGUGAGCGUGGACGGCCUGGGAGAAGGGGUCAGCGUGGAUUGGGAGGCAGGUCCCCGAAGGCUGAUAAGGCCGGACCUUCUGACUUUUCAACAGAGUACGGACAUUUAGAUGUUCUCUGUGGAAUCUCAUAAGUUUUCAUUGUUGGCAGCUAAUGAAAAUGCUUCAACUGGGCUGUGGCCUGAGCCCCACUGGACGGCCCCUCUGCCAAGCAUAAUAUAAUCAUGAUUUCACAGGCGUAAUUAUAACUUCACUUGAAUGCCUGGAAUCCAGGUUGUUGCUCUGAAUGGCUUGUGUGUGCAACCCAAGAUCCAGCACCCGGGAGACAAGGUCAGGAGGUGGGAGGGCAAGGAGCAGGAUGGGAAUGUGAGCCCCCUGGGGAGUCGGAGGCCCAGCUCUCCGCCCUCACUGGGAGGAACCUGGGAUUCUAACCCAUGACGAGGGGUCAAGGCGCAGCUCUGCCACUUCCUCGCUCUGGGAGCUUGGGCAAGCUGCUGCUUCAUUUCAGUGUCUUCCCCUGCAGAACGGGAAUAGUAACCCCUGCUUCUCAGAGCUGGUUGGCGGAGAAAACAAGAACAUGUAAUUACUUAUAUGGUGACAACCUUGAAGCACGUGCAGUUCUGUACCCUCUGCCUGAACGAAUUCACUUAACACUCACAACAAUUCUAUGAGGUCAUCAUUAUGCAUUUCUUUUUCAUAUGGGGAAACUGAGGCACAAAGAAGUUAAAUAACUUGUCCAAGUCUAAUGGCUAGAAAGUGGCAGAACAGGAUUCAACGCAGGCUUCAAGAUCCACAGUCCCACCUACUAUGCUGUUCUCCUGGAUGUGAAGCUUUCUGGCACUUAGUAGGCCCUCAGCGAAGUUAUUAAUUUGUUCAACUGAUAGUUAUUAUACAGCUCCUGUGUGCCAGGCUGUGGGCUAAGCUCUGGAGGUGGAGCAGUGGAUGGGAUAGACAUGGCUCCUGCCCUCGUUUGAUCUUUGUUGAGGGUUUGCUGACUGCCAGGCUCUGUGUUUGGGGUAGAGGACUGCAUUAAAAUGUAGGUUUUAUUAUUAUCCAUGUAUGAUGAGGCCAACAGAUCAUGAGAUGACUGCCAUUGAAAGAUAGUUCAUUACUCACAGGUUCCAAGAGGAGGAGCAUGCCACACUUUGGGGGCCACAUGGGUGAGCACAGGCUGGGUCAGGAGGCAGAGGGAGCGAGGGGAAAGCCUGGGCAGGAGGCUUUAUCGUGGGUUUUUCAGGAGGAACGGGUGGAGGAGGGUAAGCAUUUGGGAUUGGAUAGUUUGGAUAAUUUCGGCAGGCUCUGGGCUAUAGGGGUGGUCCUUGUCGUCCGGUACCUGGCCUUGCUGUGGGUUAGGGCAGGGGGAUUGUGUCCUGAACUGCAGGAGCUUGGUAAUAGGAGGCGAUGGGGGCAUGGACUCAGAUCGGAUGGUUUGCAUGUCAAAGGUGUGUGUUUGUUGCUAUCUCUAAGAAUGGGCUAGCCCUGGGAGAGCAGUCCCUCCCAUCACUGAGGCCCCAGAUGCCAGAGCAUCAAGAAUACAGAAAAGAAGAAGUGAUAGUUAAUACAGAGACACAUUCUCUGGUGUGGAACAGACACGGUUCUGCCAGGAGGGGAGGAGUCAUGUAGGUCAUAAAUGUUAGUGAACACACACAGGAGUUCUUUUCUUGGUCAUUCCUUUAUCAAACAUUUAUUCAUUCAUUCAGCACAUAUUUACUGAGUGCCUGCUCUGUGCCAGGCACUGAUCAAGGUCCUGAAGGUAUGGGCGAUAGAGCACAGACAAGGCCCCUGCUCCGUGAAGCUGACAUUCUAGUAGGGGAGACAAUGAGUAAGUAAACAAGAAAAUAAAUGAGGCACGCUCCUACCAUGAGAUCUUGUACAGAGACAAUAAGGCAUUGAGAUUAUUAAAUAGUAAGAAAUAUGUAUAUAUAUUGGUCCCUGCCCUCCGUUCCUAAUACAGAGCUCCUGAAUCCCUUGGAAUUUCCUGGGUGAGCGGAGCAUCUUUUGUUCCAAGGAGGUGACUCUUGGUGGGCUCCCGGAUUUGCACUGGUCACCAGAAAGACCAAGCCAUAAUAAGAAACUUAGAACUUUCAGCCCUGCCCCCAUUUCACAGAGAGGGGAGAGACGCUGGAAAUUGUGUUAACAAUCAGUCAUGUCUAAGUGAUGACGCCUCCCUAAAAAUCCCAAAAGUAUGGGGUUGGAGGGCUUCCAGGUUGGUAAACACAGCCACACACCAGGAGGGUGGUGCACCCCAGCUCCACAGGACAGAAGCUCCUAUACUCAGAACCUUCCAGAUCUCACCCUAUGUGCCUCUUCAUCUGGCUGUUCACUGUAUCCUUUAUCACAUCCUUUAUGAUAAACUUGUAAAUGUAAAUCAGCCAUUCUAGGAAGUUAUCAACCCCACGGAGGGGGUCGUUGGAACCCUGAUCUAUAUCCAGUUGGUCAGAAGUACAAGUGACAACCUGGGACGUGCAAUUGGUGUCUGGAGUAGGGGCAGUCUUGUGGGACUGAGCCCUUAGCUUGUGGAGUCUGCACUGACUCUGGUUAGUGCCAGAACCGCAUUGAAUUGUAGGACACCCAGCUGGUGUUGGAGAAUUGGUCAGUGCGGGAAAAACUCCACACACCUGGUCACAGACGUGUUCUGUGCGUAGUGAGUAGUAGAAAACAGAGUUGCCCUUUAGUUGGCGUAGAGGACUUUUUCCCUUAUAGGGAUAUAACAUAGAUUGACUGGGGAUGGGGCCUUUCAGAUAAGGUGGUCAGGGACGGCCUCUCUGAAGAGGUUACACUUGAGUUAAUGCUGGAAGGCAAGACAGAGCCAACCACGUGACGAUCUGGGGAAGGAAGGAGCAUCCCAUUGCACGGCAAGUGCAGAGGUCCUGAGCCUGAAAAAGGCUUUGUGUGCUCCAUCUCAGGCACCAGAGCAGGGCCUGUAUGGCUGGAGCAUAGGGAGG